GAAGAAGGCGGGGUUUCGGGUGCACCAAGGGAGAUACUCAAGGUCACUUUGUAACAACUUUAUUGGCAACUAGCCGGGAAGGACAACGACAACCACCUGGUGAUUGGGCAAGCAAUCCUUGAAUUAUGUACAUUUAAUUUAGUAAUUCUAACAAAUGGCUAAUGGAAGUGAUAUCAACACGUCAACAUAAAAGAUUAAACAUCUAGAAUGCCCUGCUAAGAAGAUGGCUGGGGACUGAACUCCAGCCCAUUCUGCCUAGAGCCCUGGCAUGAGACAACAUCAACCCGGAGGAUCAGCUUUUUACUUGUUAGCGCAAAGAUCUAAUGUCUGGAUGGGAGGCAGCAAUAUUACAACUACAAGAACAAAAGUCACACGUUGAGGAUGGAGAAUCUGGAAAGUAGGAACCGGAAUUUUUCACUUUUUUUUGGAGUAAGCAGCCCUUAAUUGCCUAUUUAUGGAGUUCAUGUCACAUGAAAAAAAUAAAUCUCUAUUUGGCUAAGUCACUGAAGCCAGUUUCUGUUAUAUGCAGCUAAACACAACCCAAACUAAUAGAUAAUUUUGUAGACUUACAUCUCUGAAGAUCUUUGGCCUUUGGGCUGUGAUUACAGCUGAAGUGCCCCUUCUCCCCCCAAAUUUACAUUAAUUUACAUCUGCCUUUUCUUCCUUAUUUGAUGGUAUGGUAUGUCUGCUAGGGACCAAUCAAUAGAUCAAAAACAUACCUGUGAUUUGAACAGGGAAAAUUUAACAUAAAAAAAACCAUUAACCAGUGAAAGAUGUCUAAAAGGAGCAGAGUGGACUCUAAGGGGUCCAGUGGUACUCCUGUAGGCAUGGCUACUAACCUUGGCUGAAGAAGAACGUACAAGAAGAAGGAACCUGAGAAAUUUAGAGGAGAAUGUGUGACUGCCACAAGAAUGUGUAGUCCACCUGUGCUGAAGAAACUUGCUGGAAGCAUGGGCCGUAAAUGAAUUGUGAGGACUGUAGAGGUGAAUACUACUAGGCCCUGCCUGCAAACCAAUCCACUGGCUCCACACAAAAAAGUCUACCGGAAGAAGAAUGUCAAGUCCUUUCCUCUGCUCUGGCCUCCCAGUGUCUCUCCAUCAUCUUCUAUUGGCAGAACCUAUCAUUUUACCAUUGCCAAAGCAGAAAUUUGGCAGGGUCCAGCUUACAGGGUCCAGCUCCAGAAUAACAAAGCAAGGGAAAAAAAGAUGGAUUUGUAGCUGAGAAGUCAUAAGUUAUAAGUCAAUAACUUAAGAACUCAUAAGUUAAUAACUAGCACAGAUAGUAAGAUUCUCAACGGCAGGCAUUAUGUCUAAUGCAUGCUAUGUCUCUCAUAGCACCUAACAGAGUGUUAAACAUAGUAGUCACUCAAUAAAUGUUUUCUUGAUAAUAAAUAGUAUGUAUG
rnacentral:lncRNA from 1 species